rnacentral:piRNA from 1 species
UACUUUGGUGACAGUAAUAGUAGCUAUA